rnacentral:rRNA from 1 species
GAUGAACGCUAGCGGCAGGCCUAAUACAUGCAAGCCGAACGGCAAGUUUGAUAGCAAUAUUGGACCUAGAGUGGCGCAAGGGUGCGUAACACGUAUGCAACCUGCCCGCGACAGGAGGAUAGCUCCCCGAAAGGGGAAUUAACCCACCAUAACACCAUGGGAAGGCAUCUGCUUAUGGUUACGCCGCAAGGGGUCGCGGAUGGGCAUGCGGUUGAUUAGCUAGUUGGCGGGGUAAAGGCCCACCAAGGCGGUGAUCAAUAGGGGUUCUGAGAGAAAGGACCCCCACACUGGCACUGGGAUACGGGCCAGACGCGUGCGAGAGGCAGCAGUAGGGGAUAUUGGACAAUAGUUGCGAGACAGAUCCAGCGAGGCCGCGUGCAGGAAGAAGGCGUUCUGGGUCGUAAACGGAUGGAUCCAGAGGAUAAAAUACCCGUACGAGGGGAAUUGAAGGUAACAGAAGAAUAAGCCACGGCUAACUACGUG